GGGGAGCAUCCCUUUCCCUGCCUUUUCCAGCUUCUGGAAGCCCUCUGGGUUUGUGCCUCCGUCACCCCCUCGUUCCUGGGUCUGUGGCUCCGUCAUCCCCUCGUUCCUGGGUCUGUGGCUCCGUCACCCCCUCGUUCCUGGGUCUGUGGCUCCGUCACCCCCUCGUUCCUGGGUCUGUGGCUCCGUCACCCCCUCGUUCCUGGGUCUGUGGCUCCGUCACCCCCUCCUUUCCACUCUUCCUUCAUCACACGCCCUUCUCCUCCCUCCGAAGUCUCUGCCUCCCUGCCAUGCGCCCUUGUGAUGACAUUGACGGCCCGUGUGCAGAAGCGAAGAUAACUCUCUAGCCCACAAAAAGACCUCAUCUGCAAAGUCCUUUUUCCCACGUAAGGAAACGUUUACAGGUUCCGGAGAUUAGGAU
rnacentral:lncRNA from 1 species